UCUGGUGGUCAUAGCAUAGGGGAAACACCCGUUCCCAUUCCGAACACGGAAGUUAAGACCUAUAACGCCGAUGGUACUGCACGGGAGACUGUGUGGGAGAGUAGGUAGCUGCCAGGU
rnacentral:rRNA from 1 species